rnacentral:rRNA from 1 species
UACAGAGGUCCCGAGCGUUGUUCGGAUUCACUGGGCGUAAAGGGUGCGUAGGUGGUGAGGUAAGUCGGAUGUGAAAGCUCCAAGCUCAACUUGGAAAUGGCAUUGGAAACUACCUUGCUAGAGGGUUUGAGGGGGGACUGGAAUGACUUGGUGUAGCAGUGAAAUGCGUAGAUAUCAAGUGGAACACCAGUGGCGAAGGCGAGUCCCUGGAAAACUCCUGACACUGAGGCA